CGUCCGUUGUCCGGUGCUUCCGCUCGGUCUCUCUCUCCCUCUCUCCGUACAGAUCUGCUCUCCGGUCAGUGACGUCGCCAGCUUCUCUCUUGGCGGUAGGCGUCCUCCGUCGUCCGGCGUCCCCACUCCGGCAGAUUUCGUCUCAGUCCAGCUCUGUCUCCGGCCGGCCACGCUAGGGUACCAUUUAAUUUCCAAGGAUCAUCAACUCUGUUCUGUUGCUAGGAGCGCUAUUAUGUAGAGAGGAAUUUGUUGGGGUACUGUACGACCAAGGCUCGAAAAAAUGUCGGUAAAUAGUGAUGCGUCAAGACCCCCUCCGUUAUGUUACUGUGGAGUGCGUGCACGUCUAAGGUACUCAUGGACUAGUGACAACCCCGGACGAAAGUGGUAUGGCUGUAUAAAGUAUAAGGAACCUGGGGAUUGUGAUUUUUUUAGGUGGGCUGAUAACGACAUGACUUCUUAUGAGAAGAGAUUGGAGGAACAUAUGAGAGACAUGGAGGAAGGGAGACGGGCUGAUAUUGAGAAAGUUGAGAAGAUGACAAUGGCCAGUAUUGACAGACUUGAGAAGCUGAUUGAAACAAAACACAAUGAACAAUAUGCUAGACUUCGGUUGGAGUUGGGUCUGCGUCAAAGUAAUAGAAAGAUGUUUUGGGUAGCAGUAGUCGUAGUCAUUUUGGGCCUUGUAAUUUAUCUCAGUGGUUAUAGUGGUUCUAAAGUUAGCUACUUGAUGUUAGAAUGAAAAGAUGGAUACAAGAAGGUUGAAAAUGAUCAUUGUCAAAUAUUUUAUGUUGUAUCCAGUUGAACAAUAGAAAUUCUGAAUUUUAGUUAUGAUGGAAGUUGAUCUGUAAAAUCAGUGUUUGUAGAUGGGUAUUGAUACUUUAAGUCAUUUGAUGAUUGUCAACAAGCCCUAUUUAUUAGGAGAUUCAUUAACAAUUUCAGCUGAUUCAUUAGAGUUCUCCCUUCCCUGGGACCUUAGCUUUAAGGGCCAUGAAUUCUACCUAAGUUUUGUUUGUAUGCUUUAGCAAUACGGAGUGUUGACAUGGCUUUACCUCUUAAUUAUUACUUAA